GAUUAAGUUAUUAAGGGCGCACGGUGGAUGCCUUGGCACUAGAAGCCGAUGAAGGACGUUACUAACGACGAUAUGCUUUGGGGAGCUGUAAGUAAGCUUUGAUCCAGAGAUUUCCGAAUGGGGAAACCCAGCAUGAGUUAUGUCAUGUUAUCGAUAUGUGAAUACAUAGCAUAUCAGAAGGCACACCCGGAGAACUGAAACAUCUUAGUAACCGGAGGAAGAGAAAGAAAAUUCGAUUCCCUUAGUAGCGGCGAGCGAAACGGGAAGAGCCCAAACCAACAAGCUUGCUUGUUGGGGUUGUAGGACACUCUAUACGGAGUUACAAAGGACGACAUUAGACGAAUCAUCUGGAAAGAUGAAUCAAAGAAGGUAAUAAUCCUGUAGUCGAAAAUGUUGUCUCUCUUGAGUGGAUCCUGAGUACGACGGAGCACGUGAAAUUCCGUCGGAAUCUGGGAGGACCAUCUCCUAAGGCUAAAUACUCUCUAGUGACCGAUAGUGAACCAGUACCGUGAGGGAAAGGUGAAAAGCACCCCGGAAGGGGAGUGAAAUAGAACCUGAAACCGUGUGCUUACAAGUAGUCAGAGCCCGUUAAUGGGUGAUGGCGUGCCUUUUGUAGAAUGAACCGGCGAGUUACGAUUUGAUGCAAGGUUAAGCAGUAAAUGUGGAGCCGUAGCGAAAGCGAGUCUGAAUAGGGCGUUUAGUAUUUGGUCGUAGACCCGAAACCAGGUGAUCUACCCUUGGUCAGGUUGAAGUUCAGGUAACACUGAAUGGAGGACCGAACCGACUUACGUUGAAAAGUGAGCGGAUGAACUGAGGGUAGCGGAGAAAUUCCAAUCGAACCUGGAGAUAGCUGGUUCUCUCCGAAAUAGCUUUAGGGCUAGCCUCAAGUGAUGAUUAUUGGAGGUAGAGCACUGUUUGGACGAGGGGCCCCUCUCGGGUUACCGAAUUCAGACAAACUCCGAAUGCCAAUUAAUUUAACUUGGGAGUCAGAACAUGGGUGAUAAGGUCCGUGUUCGAAAGGGAAACAGCCCAGACCACCAGCUAAGGUCCCAAAAUAUAUGUUAAGUGGAAAAGGAUGUGGCGUUGCCCAGACAACUAGGAUGUUGGCUUAGAAGCAGCCAUCAUUUAAAGAGUGCGUAAUAGCUCACUAGUCGAGUGACACUGCGCCGAAAAUGUACCGGGGCUAAACAUAUUACCGAAGCUGUGGAUUGUCCUUUGGACAAUGGUAGGAGAGCGUUCUAAGGGCGUUGAAGCAUGAUCGUAAGGACAUGUGGAGCGCUUAGAAGUGAGAAUGCCGGUGUGAGUAGCGAAAGACGGGUGAGAAUCCCGUCCACCGAUUGACUAAGGUUUCCAGAGGAAGGCUCGUCCGCUCUGGGUUAGUCGGGUCCUAAGCUGAGGCCGACAGGCGUAGGCGAUGGAUAACAGGUUGAUAUUCCUGUACCACCUAUAAUCGUUUUAAUCGAUGGGGGGACGCAGUAGGAUAGGCGAAGCGUGCGAUUGGAUUGCACGUCUAAGCAGUAAGGCUGAGUAUUAGGCAAAUCCGGUACUCGUUAAGGCUGAGCUGUGAUGGGGAGAAGACAUUGUGUCUUCGAGUCGUUGAUUUCACACUGCCGAGAAAAGCCUCUAGAUAGAAAAUAGGUGCCCGUACCGCAAACCGACACAGGUAGUCAAGAUGAGAAUUCUAAGGUGAGCGAGCGAACUCUCGUUAAGGAACUCGGCAAAAUGACCCCGUAACUUCGGGAGAAGGGGUGCUCUUUAGGGUUAACGCCCAGAAGAGCCGCAGUGAAUAGGCCCAAGCGACUGUUUAUCAAAAACACAGGUCUCUGCUAAACCGUAAGGUGAUGUAUAGGGGCUGACGCCUGCCCGGUGCUGGAAGGUUAAGAGGAGUGGUUAGCUUCUGCGAAGCUACGAAUCGAAGCCCCAGUAAACGGCGGCCGUAACUAUAACGGUCCUAAGGUAGCGAAAUUCCUUGUCGGGUAAGUUCCGACCCGCACGAAAGGCGUAACGAUUUGGGCACUGUCUCAACGAGAGACUCGGUGAAAUCAUAGUACCUGUGAAGAUGCAGGUUACCCGCGACAGGACGGAAAGACCCCGUGGAGCUUUACUGUAGCCUGAUAUUGAAAUUCGGCACAGCUUGUACAGGAUAGGUAGGAGCCUUUGAAACGUGAGCGCUAGCUUACGUGGAGGCGCUGGUGGGAUACUACCCUAGCUGUGUUGGCUUUCUAACCCGCACCACUUAUCGUGGUGGGAGACAGUGUCAGGCGGGCAGUUUGACUGGGGCGGUCGCCUCCUAAAAGGUAACGGAGGCGCUCAAAGGUUCCCUCAGAAUGGUUGGAAAUCAUUCAUAGAGUGUAAAGGCAUAAGGGAGCUUGACUGCGAGACCUACAAGUCGAGCAGGGUCGAAAGACGGACUUAGUGAUCCGGUGGUUCCGCAUGGAAGGGCCAUCGCUCAACGGAUAAAAGCUACCCCGGGGAUAACAGGCUUAUCUCCCCCAAGAGUUCACAUCGACGGGGAGGUUUGGCACCUCGAUGUCGGCUCAUCGCAUCCUGGGGCUGUAGUCGGUCCCAAGGGUUGGGCUGUUCGCCCAUUAAAGCGGUACGCGAGCUGGGUUCAGAACGUCGUGAGACAGUUCGGUCCCUAUCCGUCGUGGGCGUAGGAAAUUUGAGAGGAGCUGUCCUUAGUACGAGAGGACCGGGAUGGACAUACCUCUGGUGUACCAGUUGUCGUGCCAACGGCAUAGCUGGGUAGCUAUGUGUGGACGGGAUAAGUGC
rnacentral:rRNA from 1 species